GCGACGGCGGCUUGACUAGGUUUUCGAUUUCACGGAAUUUAGAGGGGUUUUUGAUGAUUUGGGGCACAGAUUAGGAGAGAGGGUAAAGAGAGGAAGAGAUUGGUGUAGGUUUUAUAGGCUUUGGAAGUUGGCCUCCACCGGUGGCGAAUUCCGGUAGGCAGCAUUGGGCGGUGACUGGCGGAGCUGCUGGGGAGGUGAAAUAAAAGAGAGAGGAAGAAGAAAAAUGACGAGACAAU
rnacentral:lncRNA from 1 species